UACGCGGGCCGUGACUGGCGCUGAGGUGGAGCACCACCGGGGAGCGGUCCGUGGUGGAUGCCGCGCGCCUGGGCGUAAGAC
rfam:Streptomyces sp. F-1 isolate Streptomyces sp. F1 genome assembly, contig: gnlCTBESTEPF1_3